GGGCGCGUAGCUCAGCGGAAGAGCACUACCUUGACACGGUAGGGGUCACAGGUUCGAUCCCUGUCGCGCCCACCA
rnacentral:tRNA from 1 species